rnacentral:rRNA from 1 species
AGCGAACGCUGGCGGCAGGCCUAACACAUGCAAGUCGAACGAACUCUUCGGAGUUAGUGGCGGACGGGUGAGUAACACGUGGGAACGUGCCUUUUGGUUCGGAAUAACUCAGGGAAACUUGUGCUAAUACCGAAUGUGCCCUUCGGGGGAAAGAUUUAUCGCCAUUAGAGCGGCCCGCGUCUGAUUAGCUAGUUGGUGAGGUAACGGCUCACCAAGGCGACGAUCAGUAGCUGGUCUGAGAGGAUGACCAGCCACACUGGGACUGAGACACGGCCCAGACUACUACGGGAGGCAGCAGUGGGGAAUCUUGCGAAAUGGGGGAAAGCCUGACGAAGCCAUGCCGCGUGAAUGAUGAAGGUCUUAGGAUUGUAAAAUUCUUUCACCGGGGACGAUAAUGACGGUACCCGGAGAAGAAGCCCCGGCUAACUUCGUG